UACGUAGGUGGCAAGCGUUGUCCGGAUUUACUGGGCGUAAAGCGUGCGCAGGCGGUUUUGUAAGCCAGAUGUGAAAUCCCCGGGCUUAACCUGGGAAUGGCAUUUGGGACUGCAAGGCUUGAGUGCGGCAGAGGAGACUGGAAUUCCUGGUGUAGCAGUGAAAUGCGUAGAUAUCAGGAGGAACACCGAUGGCGAAGGCAGGUCUCUGGGCUGACACUGACGCUCAUGCACGAAAGCGUGGGGAGCAAACAGG
rnacentral:rRNA from 1 species